rnacentral:rRNA from 1 species
UACGUAGGGCGCAAGCGUUGUCCGGAAUUAUUGGGCGUAAAGAGCUCGUAGGUGGCUUGUCGCGUCUGCUGUGAAAUCCCGAGGCUCAACCUCGGGCCUGCAGUGGGUACGGGCAGACUUGAGUGGUGUAGGGGAGACUGGAAUUCCUGGUGUAGCGGUGGAAUGCGCAGAUAUCAGGAGGAACACCGAUGGCGAAGGCAGGUCUCUGGGCACUUACUGACGCUGAGGAGCGAAAGCGUGGGGAGCGAACAGG